GGAGCAACGCCGCGUGAGUGAAGAAGGGUUUCGGCUCGUAAAACUCUGUUGUUAAAGAAGAACAUAUCUGAGAGUAACUGUUCAGGUAUUGACGGUAUUUAACCAGAAAGCCACGGCUAACUACGUGCCAGCAGCCGCGGUAAUACGUAGGUGGCAAGCGUUGUCCGGAUUUAUUGGGCGUAAAGCGAGCGCAGGCGGUUUUUUAAGUCUGAUGUGAAAGCCUUCGGCUUAACCGAAGAAGUGCGUCGGAAACUGGGAAACUUGAGUGCAGAAGAGGACAGUGGAACUCCAUGUGUAGCGGUGAAAUGCGUAGAUAUAUGGAAGAACACCAGUGGCGAAGGCGGCUGUCUGGUCUGUAACUGACGCUGAGGCUCGAAAGUAUGGGUAGCAAACAGGAUUAGAUACCCUGGUAGUCCAUACCGUAAACGAUGAAUGCUAAGUGUUGGAGGGUUUCCGCCCUUCAGUGCUGCAGCUGACGCAUUAAGCAUUCCGCCUGGGGAGUACGGCCGCAAGGCUGAAACUCAAAGGAAUUGACGGGGGCCCGCACAAGCGGUGGAGCAUGUGGUUUAAUUCGAAGCUACGCGAAGAACCUUACCAGGUCUUGACAUACUAUGCAAAUCUAAGAGAUGAGACGAUCCCUUCGGG
rnacentral:rRNA from 2 species